AUUGAACGCUGGCGGCAGGCCUAACACAUGCAAGUCGAACGGUAGCACAGAGAGCUUGCUCUCGGGUGACGAGUGGCGGACGGGUGAGUAAUGUCUGGGAAACUGCCCGAUGGAGGGGGAUAACUACUGGAAACGGUAGCUAAUACCGCAUAACGUCGCAAGACCAAAGUGGGGGACCUUCGGGCCUCACACCAUCGGAAGUGCCCAGAUGGGAUUAGCUAGUGGGUGGGGUAAUGGCUCACCUAGGCGACGAUCCCUAGCUGGUCUGAGAGGAUGACCAGCCACACUGGAACUGAGACACGGGCCAGACUCCUACGGGAGGCAGCAGUGGGGAAUAUUGCACAAUGGGCGCAAGCCUGAUGCAGCCAUGCCGCGUGUAUGAAGAAGGCCUUCGGGUUGUAAAGUACUUUCAGCGGGGAGGAAGGCGGUGAAGUUAAUAACUUCACCGAUUGACGUUACCCGCAGAAGAAGCACCGGCUAACUCCGUGCCAGCCGCCGCGGUAA
rnacentral:rRNA from 1 species